rnacentral:ncRNA from 2 species
GACGAGGGAUCCUAGCGUUGCUCGGAAUCAUUGGGCGUAAAGAGGGCGUAGGUGGCUUGGUAAGUCAGGUGUGAAAGCCCAGGGCUCAACCCUGGAAGUGCAUUUGAUACUGCUGAGCUUGAGUGUUAGAGAGGUUACCGGAAUACCUGGUGUAGUGGUGAAAUACGUAGAUAUCAGGUGGAACACCGGAGGCGAAGGCGGGUAACUGGCUAAACACUGACACUGAGGCCCGAAAGCGUGGGGAUCAAACAGG